UUCAUCCUGCAAUGUUCGUUGCCCCUUCAUGUUUUAAACCUUACUAUUUAUUAGGGAUUCCUAUAUGAUUAACCAAUGUCACGCCUACCUUAGUAGGAUUGCAGCAGGUUAAUAUGCGGAAACCCACCUGUUGAAAACAGGUUAUCAAAACAUAUGGGGAAACGGCAUAGGUGGGAAUGAU
rnacentral:other from 2 species